rnacentral:rRNA from 1 species
AGAGUUUGAUCCUGGCUCAGGAUGAACGCUGGCGGCGUGCCUAAUACAUGCAAGUCGAGCGAACGGACGAGAAGCUUGCUUCUCUGAUGUUAGCGGCGGACGGGUGAGUAACACGUGGAUAACCUACCUAUAAGACUGGGAUAACUUCGGGAAACCGGAGCUAAUACCGGAUAAUAUUUUGAACCGCAUGGUUCAAAAGUGAAAGACGGUCUUGCUGUCACUUAUAGAUGGAUCCGCGCUGCAUUAGCUAGUUGGUAAGGUAACGGCUUACCAAGGCAACGAUGCAUAGCCGACCUGAGAGGGUGAUCGGCCACACUGGAACUGAGACACGGUCCAGACUCCUACGGGAGGCAGCAGUAGGGAAUCUUCCGCAAUGGGCGAAAGCCUGACGGAGCAACGCCGCGUGAGUGAUGAAGGUCUUCGGAUCGUAAAACUCUGUUAUUAGGGAAGAACAUAUGUGUAAGUAACUGUGCACAUCUUGACGGUACCUAAUCAGAAAGCCACGGCUAACUACGUGCCAGCAGCCGCGGUAAUACGUAGGUGGCAAGCGUUAUCCGGAAUUAUUGGGCGUAAAGCGCGCGUAGGCGGUUUUUUAAGUCUGAUGUGAAAGCCCACGGCUCAACCGUGGAGGGUCAUUGGAAACUGGAAAACUUGAGUGCAGAAGAGGAAAGUGGAAUUCCAUGUGUAGCGGUGAAAUGCGCAGAGAUAUGGAGGAACACCAGUGGCGAAGGCGACUUUCUGGUCUGUAACUGACGCUGAUGUGCGAAAGCGUGGGGAUCAAACAGGAUUAGAUACCCUGGUAGUCCACGCCGUAAACGAUGAGUGCUAAGUGUUAGGGGGUUUCCGCCCCUUAGUGCUGCAGCUAACGCAUUAAGCACUCCGCCUGGGGAGUACGACCGCAAGGUUGAAACUCAAAGGAAUUGACGGGGACCCGCACAAGCGGUGGAGCAUGUGGUUUAAUUCGAAGCAACGCGAAGAACCUUACCAAAUCUUGACAUCCUUUGACAACUCUAGAGAUAGAGCCUUCCCCUUCGGGGGACAAAGUGACAGGUGGUGCAUGGUUGUCGUCAGCUCGUGUCGUGAGAUGUUGGGUUAAGUCCCGCAACGAGCGCAACCCUUAAGCUUAGUUGCCAUCAUUAAGUUGGGCACUCUAAGUUGACUGCCGGUGACAAACCGGAGGAAGGUGGGGAUGACGUCAAAUCAUCAUGCCCCUUAUGAUUUGGGCUACACACGUGCUACAAUGGACAAUACAAAGGGCAGCGAAACCGCGAGGUCAAGCAAAUCCCAUAAAGUUGUUCUCAGUUCGGAUUGUAGUCUGCAACUCGACUACAUGAAGCUGGAAUCGCUAGUAAUCGUAGAUCAGCAUGCUACGGUGAAUACGUUCCCGGGUCUUGUACACACCGCCCGUCACACCACGAGAGUUUGUAACACCCGAAGCCGGUGGAGUAACCUUUUAGGAGCUAGCCGUCGAAGGUGGGACAAAUGAUUGGGGUGAAGUCGUAACAAGGUAGCCGUAUCGGAAGGUGCGGCUGGAUCA